UCGCAAAGUAAGAGCUUCUCGAGCUGCGCAAGGAUAGGUCGAAUUUUCUCAUUUUCCGCCAGCAGUCCACUUCGAUUUAAUUCGUAAACAAGCAGUAGUAAUUCCUGCUUUAUCAAGAUAAUUUUUCGACUCAUCAGAAAUAUCCGAAAGUGUUAACUUCUGCGUCAUGGAAGCGAUAAAACUCUGCAGGUUGGA
rnacentral:rRNA from 1 species